GUCAGAAUUAACAUACAAAUUCUGCAAAACAUUUUUGGCAGUUUAAUUGGGGCAGUGUUUUGUAGACAAAUGAACAACUUAAGUAAGGGGAAUCAACAAAACUUGGGUUUCAAAAGUUAUCUGGGUUUAGAGUGUGAAACUUCGUCGGAGGACACACACCUUGCGUGAAUGAGAUGCCUCGGUGUGUGUGGACAUGUUGGAGGUACAGCAUAAUGGUGGCUUCCUCCAGAAAGGGACAUUUGGGGGAGCACCAAUGGCUCCUGUCUCACAGUGGAUUCAUUCCACCUAGACAACACAGCCUGAUGUGGCAUGGACAUGAAUGGAGGUCAAAUGGGCAGUAGCUGAGAGGAUCAGCCCUGACAAGGGCCAGGGUGAAAGACCUGGGAGUCUCUUCAGGUGCAAAGUCUUCAGUUGAAAAAAGGAGGUGGUCACAGGAGAUACUGAGCUGGAUCAAUAAAGUGCAGGAGAGAGAGUUGUUGGCCCUGGGGAGCGAGUAGUAUGGACUCUUAAGUUUUCUCCUCCUUCCAUUAAUUUCUCUUCCAGUGCAGACUUCAGUCUUAGACUUCCCAGCUGCCUUGAGGGAUUGGAUGAGCCUUGGCCAGCUCUUGAAGGAAACAAUAAAAUCACUUUAAUGUGCUACUUUUCAUUUUGAAGUCAUUACAGUAUCAUUUGCAAAACUCAACAAGGAAAGAUGCCUGUGGAUGGCCGUGUUCUGGGAGUCACUGUGAUGAGGUGCUGCCUGCUUUCGCCCAACCUGAUCUGGGGCUCAGACAGCUAACAGGCCCGAGUGGCUAGGAGGUUUGCAGGGAACCAGGUUUCGCUGUGAUGAAAGCACCUUGCUGUGGGCUGGGAGGUGGGAGUGCAGGGCAGCCUGGGCCCCCCUGACCCCAUACUCAGAUCGGCAAGUGCCCAGUGGAGGCCACAUGGCCCCAGCACCAACCAAUGUAGGGUCU
rnacentral:lncRNA from 1 species